rnacentral:rRNA from 1 species
UACAGAGGUCCCAAGCGUUGUUCGGAUUCACUGGGCGUAAAGGGUGCGUAGGCGGCUCGGUAAGUCCGCUGUGAAAGUCCAGGGCUCAACCCUGGAAUGCCGGUGGAAACUGUCGAGCUAGAGUCCGGAAGAGGCGAGUGGAAUUCCUGGUGUAGCGGUGAAAUGCGCAGAUAUCAGGAGGAACACCAAUGGCGAAGGCAGCUCGCUGGGACGGUACUGACGCUGAGACGCGAAAGCGUGGGGAGCAAACAGG